GACGAACGCUGGCGGCGUGCUUAACACAUGCAAGUCGAACGAAGUGGCGAACGGGUGAGUAACGCGUACUCAACCUGCCCUUCAGAGGGGGACAACAGUUGGAAACGACUGCUAAUACCGCAUACUGAAGGAGGGGAUUGCGUCUGAUUAGCUAGUUGGGGGGGUAACGGCCGACCAAGGCGAUGAUCAGUAGCCGGCCUGAGAGGAUGAACGGCAACACUGGGACUGAGACACGGCCCAGACUCCUACGGGAGGCAGCAGUUGGGAAUCUUCCGCAAUGGAGGAAAGUCUGACGGAGCAACGCCGCGUGAGUGAUGACGGCCUUCGGGUUGUAAAGCUCUGUUAAUCGGGACGCGGUACCGGAAUAGAAAGCCACGGCUAACUACGUGCCAGCAGCCGCGGUAAUUC
rnacentral:rRNA from 1 species